rnacentral:rRNA from 1 species
AGCGAACGCUGGCGGCAGGCUUAACACAUGCAAGUCGAGCGGGCGUAGCAAUACGUCAGCGGCAGACGGGUGAGUAACGCGUGGGAACAUACCUUUUGGUUCGGAACAACACAGGGAAACUUGUGCUAAUACCGGAUAAGCCCUUACGGGGAAAGGAUUAUCGCCGAAAGAUUGGCCCGCCGUCUGAUUAGCUAGUUGGUGUGGUAAAGACGCACCAAGGCGACGAUCAGUAGCUGGCUGAGAGGAUGAUCAGCCACAUUGGGACUGAGACACGGCCCAAA